rnacentral:rRNA from 2 species
GCUUCCUUUUUUUCCCGGGGCCUUUUUUUAAAUUUUUUAUAACGCUCAGGACGAACGCUGGCGGCGUGCCUAAUACAUGCAAGUCGAGCGAAUCUGAGGGAGCUUGCUCCCAAAGAUUAGCGGCGGACGGGUGAGUAACACGUGGGCAACCUGCCUGUAAGACUGGGAUAACUCCGGGAAACCGGGGCUAAUACCGGAUAAUAUCUAUUUAUACAUAUAAUUAGAUUGAAAGAUGGUUCUGCUAUCACUUACAGAUGGGCCCGCGGCGCAUUAGCUAGUUGGUGAGGUAACGGCUCACCAAGGCGACGAUGCGUAGCCGACCUGAGAGGGUGAUCGGCCACACUGGGACUGAGACACGGCCCAGACUCCUACGGGAGGCAGCAGUAGGGAAUCUUCCGCAAUGGACGAAAGUCUGACGGAGCAACGCCGCGUGAGUGAUGAAGGUUUUCGGAUCGUAAAACUCUGUUGUUAGGGAAGAACAAGUACCGGAGUAACUGCCGGUACCUUGACGGUACCUAACCAGAAAGCCACGGCUAACUACGUGCCAGCAGCCGCGGUAAUACGUAGGGGCCAACCGUUCUCCGGAAUUAUUGGGCGUAAAGCGCGCGCAGGCGGUUCCUUAAGUCUGAUGUGAAAGCCCACGCGCUCAACCGAUGGAGGGUCAUUAGGAAACUGGGGAACUUGAGUGCAGAAGAGGAAAGUGGAAUUCCAAGUGUAGCGGUGAAAUGCGUAGAGAUUUGGAGGAACACCAGUGGCGAAGGCGACUUUCUGGUCUGUAACUGACGCUGAGGCGCGAAAACACGCCCAGCAAACAGGAUUAGAUACCCUGGUAGUCCACGCCGUAAACGAUGAGUGCUAAGUGUUAGAGGGUUUCCGCCCUUUAGUGCUGCAGCAAACGCAUUAAGCACUCCGCCUGGGGAGUACGACCGCAAGGUUGAAACUCAAAGGAAUUGACGGGGGCCCGCACAAGCGGUGGAGCAUGUGGUUUAAUUCGAAGCAACGCGAAGAACCUUACCAGGUCUUGACAUCCUCUGACAAUCCUAGAGAUAGGACUUUCCCCUUCGGGGGACAGAGUGACAGGUGGUGCAUGGUUGUCGUCAGCUCGUGUCGUGAGAUGUUGGGUUAAGUCCCGCAACGAGCGCAACCCUUGAUCUUAGUUGCCAGCAUUCAGUUGGGCACUCUAAGGUGACUGCCGGUGACAAACCGGAGGAAGGUGGGGAUGACGUCAAAUCAUCAUGCCCCUUAUGACCUGGGCUACACACGUGCUACAAUGGAUGGUACAAAGGGCUGCAAGACCGCGAGGUUUAGCCAAUCCCAUAAAACCAUUCUCAGUUCGGAUUGUAGGCUGCAACUCGCCUACAUGAAGCCGGAAUCGCUAGUAAUCGCGGAUCAGCAUGCCGCGGGUGAAUACGUUCCCGGGCCUUGUACACACCGCCCGUCACACCACGAGAGUUUGUAACACCCGAAGUCGGUGGGGUAACCUUUUGGAGCCAGCCGCCUAAGGUGGGACAGAUGAUUGGGGUGAAGUCUAAGGGGGGUAACCCGAAAAAGGAGGGAGG